UGUAGAAGCCAUAAUUAUGCUCCAAAACACUUUGUGUCCUUGUUUCCUACAACUAUUUCAAACUGUAUAGAGGGUAUAUUUCGAGGGUAUAAAUGUUCGUGGUUUUCGCGGAUUAGGCAUGAACCGCGAACAUUUAUAACCGUGAAUUUAAUAUUUCAUGCAUGCAUGCAUGCUGCAAAAGAGGCGCUAUUCCAUGAAAAUUAAAUCUGCGAAAACCUUUCUUAAAGGCACAUCCGCGAAAAUUUAUACCCUCGAAAUAUACCCGCUAUACGGUAUUGAUAAUGUACAUUGUAGAUCUGCAUACUCCACUUAUUACCCGAGGCGCGCGUGGGCAGCCAUAGGUAUAGUAGUACGUUGGUUUCUUUGUCUGUUUGUCUGUAAUAUGUGAGUCUACUCACCUGGAUGCCAUAGCACUGCGUUUACAGCAUGGAUAGCCUCCACACAACAAGUUAAUAGUGGCAGAUUUCGAUGUUACAGUUUUGUUGUAGAAUAAAAGCGAGAAGCUAGCCUCGAUUCCAAGCCGCUGAGAAAGACGGCCUGGUAUACACUGUUUACGCAUGCGCCAGAAUUACCCAGAAUCUGGGUAAUCGUAAAUUGCAGUAUAUUUAUCAGUAUUCUUAUUCCGCAUUAGUUUGUAAAACAUUGAUAUCCGUUUCAUUUAUAAUGAUGUCAUUGAAAAAAGAAAUCUAGUCCAAGUUGUGUAAUGGCUGCUACCUUCUCUUCUGCUCUCGCGUACGCGUUAUCCUGUGUUGGAAAACCAGGUCUAGUCUUGAAAGACAAGCAGCUGGAGGCGUUGAAGUGUCUGUACGCUGGUGUUUAUGUGGGUACCGUAUCGACCGGCUAUGGCAAGUCCCAGAGCAAGUCCAUCUGCUUUCCAGACACUCCCUUUCUUGGAUUGAUGUGAAGCUUGACAGGACCAGUGCACCUCUCUCUGAAAGAAGUGUUGUGAUAGUGAUUUCUCCUUUUGUUUCUCUGAGUGAAGCCAUCUUCAAAGUGUUGGUGUGUCUGUUCGACGUUCAGUGCCAUUCUCUCUGGAAGGAAGUAUUGUUGUGACAUUUGCCGAAAAUUGGUCACAGAGUAAGUACGUGGUAUCUGAUCCGAGAACUGUGUGGCCUGAAUGUGUUUACAAUCCGAGGGACUUGUGUGUAUCCGAUCCGAGGGACUUGUUGCUUGAGUGUGUAUCCGGACUUGUUGCUUGAGUGUGUAUUAAUGGAUAGUGCUUUCAAUGGUUUAACUAAUUUCUUAUGAGAUUAACUUGUCGCCUGAGUGUGUAUCCGAUCCGAGCCUCAAGUUAAUGAAUAAAUCUACAGAGCUGAUAUUUUACUUAGCUGUCUCUGUCUACAGUAUAUACAGAGAGGUAGCCUCUCUUUUUUCUUUUUUCUGUUCUUUAUCACAAUAAGAUAAAAUACUGUUUUAACGUUCAA